UUCAACAGUUCAUAGCCACAAGCACAAACGCCCUAGAGAUGAAAGUGGGGAAGCUUCUUUAAAAGUUCAUAGCCACAAGCACAAACGCCCUAGAGAUGAAAGUGGGGAAGCUUCUUUAAAAGUUCAUAGCCACAAGCACAAACGCCCUAGAGAUGAAAGUGGGGAAGCUUCUUUAACAGUUCAUAGCCACAAGCACAAACGCCCUAGAGAUGAAAGUGGGGAAGCUUCUUUAAAAG